rnacentral:rRNA from 1 species
UCAGACGAUGCGUCAUGCAUAUCAAUAAGCGGAGGAAAAGAAACUAACAAGGAUUCCCCUAGUAACGGCGAGUGAAGCGGGAAGAGCUCAAAUUUGAAAUCUUAAAGGGUUUCCCUUUACGAAUUGUAGUUUAAAGAAGUGUUUUCUGUUGAGGUUUUGGUAAAAGUUCUUUGGAAUAGGACAUCAUAGAGGGUGAGAAUCCCGUAUUUGACCUUUACUUUCAACUUUGUGAUACACUUUCAAAGAGUCGGAUUGUUUGGGAAUGCAGUCCAAAAUGGGUGGUAAAUUUCAUCUAAAGCUAAAUAUUGGCGAGAGACCGAUAGCGAACAAGUACCGUGAGGGAAAGAUGAAAAGAACUUUGAAAAGAGAGUUAAACAGUACGUGAAAUUGUCAAAAGGGAAGCGUUUGACACCAGUGUUGUUUUUCUGAAAAUCAAUUAAAGAACUGUUUAUGCUAAGCUGUUUAGAUUUUAUCAGCUAUCUGUUUAGUUUUGAGCUUUUCUUUAAUGCACUUUUCAGUUAACAAGUCAACAUCAAUUUCUUUUGCUGUAAAAAAGCUUGAGGAAGGUGGCCUGAGAUUCGUCUUAAGUGUUUAUAGCCUCUUGCCUAUGCAGUCGGAGAGAUUGAGGUCUGCAGCGUAGAUCCUUCGGGGCUAAACGCAUUUGUGCUAAGUUAUAGCAUUUUAUAGACAACUUGUUGACUAUGAUUUGUCUUGUAGCUUACUCGCUUAUGUUAUUUUACCUACGCUUAGGAUGUUGAGCGCAUGUCUCUCUCU